GACGAACGCUGGCGGCGUGGAUUAGGCAUGCAAGUCGAACGGUAUCAUCCUUUCGGGGGUGAGAGAGUGGCGAACUGGUGAGUAACACGUAGGUUAUCUACCCUCAAGACGGGGACAACCCAGGGAAACUUGGGCUAAUACCGGAUGUGAGCAACUUUUAGUUGUUUGAAAGGUGGCGUAAGCUGUACGCUUGGGGGAUGAGCCUGCGUCCUAUUAGUUAGUUGGUGAGGUAACGGCUCACCUAGGCAAUGAUAGGUAGGCGGCCUUAACGGGUGGUCGCCCACACUGGGAUUGAGAUACGGCCCAGACUCCUACGGGAGGCAGCAGUCGAGAAUAGUCUACAAUGGUCGGAAGACUGAUAGUGCGACGCCGCGUGAACGAUGAAUCCCUUCGGGGUGUAAAGUUCUUUUAUAUGUGAGCAGUGCUUCUUAUAUUAACAGUAUGGGGAGAGAGAUAUUAGCAUAUGAAUAAGCAACGGCUAACUCCGUGCCAGCAGCCGCGGUAAG
rnacentral:rRNA from 1 species